rnacentral:rRNA from 1 species
UUAAGUGACGAUAGCCUAGGAGAUACACCUGUACCCAUGCCGAACACAGAAGUUAAGCCAUAGAACGCCGGAAGUAGUUGG